rnacentral:rRNA from 1 species
CUACGGGAGGCAGCAGGGGGGAAUUUUGGACAAUGGGCGAAAGCCUGAUCCAGCCAUGCCGCGUGAGUGAAGAAGGCCUUCGGGUUGUAAAGCUCUUUUAGUCGGAAAGAAAGAGU